rnacentral:rRNA from 1 species
GACGAACGCUGGCGGCGUGCCUAAUACAUGCCAGUAGAACGCUGAAGGAGGAGCUUGCUCUUCUGGAUGAGUUGCGAACGGGUGAGUAACGCGUAGGUAACCUGCCUGGUAGCGGGGGAUAACUAUUGGAAACGAUAGCUAAUACCGCAUAAGAGUAGAUGUUGCAUGACAUUUACUUAAAAGGUGCAAUUGCAUCACUACCAGAUGGACCUGCGUUGUAUUAGCUAGUUGGUGGGGUAACGGCUUACCAAGGCGACGAUACAUAGCCGACCUGAGAGGGUGAUCGGCCACACUGGGACUGAGACACGGCCCAGACUCCUACGGGAGGCAGCAGUAGGGAAUCUUCGGCAAUGGACGGAAGUCUGACCGAGCAACGCCGCGUGAGUGAAGAAGGUUUUCGGAUCGUAAAGCUCUGUUGUAAGAGAAGAACGAGUGUGAGAGUGGAAAGUUCACACUGUGACGGUAUCUUACCAGAAAGGGACGGCUAACUACGUG